UUUCGAGACUUCAAGCUUAUCAGGACAUUGUCAGGACAUGAAGCAAGAGUUACACCCUUAGAUGUCACAGGAGGUCUACACUCCGAGGAAUGCGCCUAUACUAGUGAGGAAAUUGAUGUGGUUCGUGAGCAACCGGCUAAGUGUUUUACCCGCAAGUAUUUACUAUUGGCUUGAGCGCGCUUGAUCGAGGUGGUUUAGUUGUUAUAGAACAAUCGUUUACAUUAAAAUGUAUGCGUACAUUGAAAUUGGAACGUAUAUUUGAAUGUAGUACGUGCACUUUGGUUUUGGGAUAUAUAUAUAUGUAUACAAAACACCAGUUAUUAUUUUUUA